rnacentral:RNase_P_RNA from 1 species
UGAGGUGAGGAUCAGAGCAACAGAGACGAGCCGAUUAAGUUCGGGUGAAACGGGCAAUCUCUACGCGCAGCAAUACCAAGUAGGCCAACGUUGAUGUGGUUCCGCAGAGUUGGCGGGUAGGUAGCAUUGAGCCGUGGUGGCGACACCCGGCCCAGAUUAAUGGCGGUCACAUUCGGGCAACCGAAUGCACAGAAUCCGGCUUAUCGGCGCGCUUCACAC